rnacentral:rRNA from 1 species
GACGAACCGUGCGAACGUUGUUCGGAAUCACUGGGCUUAAAGGGCGCGUAGGCGGGUCGGCAAGUCAGGGGUGAAAGCCCCGCGGCUCAACCGCGGAAGUGCCUUUGAUACUGCCGGUCUUGAGGGAGGCAGGGGAGCGCGGAACUUCCGGUGGAGCGGUGAAAUGCGUAGAUAUCGGAAGGAACACCGGUGGCGAAAGCGGCGCUCUGGUCCUCUUCUGACGCUGAGGCGCGAAAGCCAGGGGAGCAAACGGGAUUAGAUACCC